rnacentral:rRNA from 1 species
GAUGAACGCUGGCGGCGUGCUUAACACAUGCAAGUCGAGCGAAGCACUUAAGUUCGAUUCUUCGGAUGAAGACUUUUGUGACUGAGCGGCGGACGGGUGAAUAACGCGUGGGUAACCUGCCUCAUACAGGGGGAUAACAGUUAGAAAUGGCUGCUAAUACCGCAUAAGACCACAGUACUGCAUGGUACAGUGGUAAAAACUCCGGUGGUAUGAGAUGGACCCGCGUCUGAUUAGGUAGUUGGUGAGGUAACGGCCCACCAAGCCGACGAUCAGUAGCCGACCUGAGAGGGUGACCGGCCACAUUGGGACUGAGACACGGCCCAGACUCCUACGGGAGGCAGCAGUGGGGAAUAUUGCACAAUGGGCGAAAGCCUGAUGCAGCGACGCCGCGUGAAGGAUGAAGUAUUUCGGUAUGUAAACUUCUAUCAGCAGGGAAGAAAAUGACGGUACCUGACUAAGAAGCCCCGGCUAACUACGUGCCAGCCGCCGCAGUAA